GAGAGACGUGGACGAAGUUUGUCUGUUGUCCAGUGUUGUCCUAAAGGGACAACUGGAACAUCGUGAGAAGGUGGGAGUGCCUGUAUUAAAUCAUGGCGAGACUUCAGCUGAAAGCCAGUCGUUUGCGGAACGUUGGGAGAAUCUGAAAGAUCCUCGGGUCCUGUCAUCCGAUUAUUGAGGAAAAAAAAAAAAAAAAAACAGUGCUGACCACUUUUUCGCGUAUCAUCCCCCGUCGAGUUCUGGCAUUCGCCGGAACAUUGUCACGUAGACUAUUCGUGUUGACGAGCGCUGGACAACUGUGUUCGGGAAAGAAAAAACCGAUCCGACGAAAACAACUUGAUUGUAAUAAA